CUGACAUCUUCUCUGUAUACUGGGAGGCACUUGGAGGGUUAUGCCAUUACAUUAUGCCAAAGUAAUGGCCGAAAGUUAUGCUGCUGUGAUGGGAGUGAUGUGAGGAAACUGCCAGCGACUGCUGGUGCUGGGGUAGCACUCAGCACUGCCAGACAUUGUGAAUGAUGUGCUGAGGCCUUUCUAUUACUCCACCGCCGGCGCCCGUGGUCCACCUGUAAGAAGAUAGCGUUAAAAGCUGCUGGAGUUUCUACCUCUUGACAACAUCCCAGCUGUAGACUAGCAAUAGCAAUCCUCCCGUGGCAGUUUUAAUUAUCGGCCCCGGCGAUACCAUCAGUAAGUGUGUAAUUACGUGU
rnacentral:lncRNA from 1 species